AUUGAACGCUGGCGGCAUGCUUUACACAUGCAAGUCGGACGAGUGGCGAACGGGUGAGUAACAUAUCGGAACGUACCGAGUAAUGGGGGAUAACUAAUCGAAAGAUUAGCUAAUACCGCAUAUUAUUCGAGCGGCCGAUAUCUGAUUAGCUGGUUGGUGGGGUAAAGGCCUACCAAGGCGACGAUCAGUAGCGGGUCUGAGAGGAUGAUCGGCCACACUGGGACUGAGACACGGCCCAGACUCCUACGGGAGGCAGCAGUGGGGAAUUUUGGACAAUGGGCGCAAGCCUGAUCCAGCCAUGCCGCGUGCGGGAUGAAGGCCUUCGGGUUGUAAACCGCUUUUGAUCGGGAGCGUGUACCCUUCGAAUAAGCACCGGCUAACUACGUGCCAGCAGCCGCGGUAAUUC
rnacentral:rRNA from 1 species